rnacentral:lncRNA from 1 species
ACACUAACUAAAGGGCUCCGGCGUUCAAUCUCACCUUCCCCCGGUGCUUUCAAUCAGUUUCUACCACUGAAAGAUUUAAAUUCUGGCCAGUUACUGAGAGGCGGAAAAAAAUCUCUCCUGUGAAACAGUGACUGUAAAGUCUGGCUUCCACCCAAGCCACAGGAACUUUAAACAGUCUGCGGGCUCAGCGGCCACAGACAGGUUCAAACUGAGUGGGAUGAAAGCUGCUCCCAGGUUUUCAAUCUGAGGUCGCAGAAACCCUUCAAGUUUCCCCAUCUCUCUCUGAGGGUUCAUGAGGAAAAUAACACUGAGUUGUAUUGUGACCUCUGCCCAGUGAUGGGAAAAUAGUUCCAGUUAUUAUGAAUUAAGAUAAUUUCAAUUUCAUUUCGGCAAAAGAGUACAUUCAUUCUGGUCUUUCAUACUUUUCCCAUGAAAAAGUUAGCAAUCUGAUUAAUGAUAUCAAGGCUUUGGAAUAAUAGGAAGAAGAGAAUGUGCCAGAAACACAUUGAUAUGAAGUUUAAACCAGCUUAAACCAUUCUCCAUAAAUAAUUGAAACAACUUCUAACAAAAGGAACAAAUAAUAAUUAAUAUGUAUAACACUGAUUGAAAACCUGCCUUUAGUCUUUGAAGAGCAUGACUAUAUGAUCUUUGGAGAAGAAUAUGACGUGCACACGGAAUGUACAAAGUUUGCUUGGAAUGUACAAAGCCAUAAAGAAAUGAAAUUUUAAGUAGUUCCAUGCGACUGGAGGGUGCAGCUUGUGACAGGAAAUGAAGUUUGGGGAGCAGCGGCAGAGGUAUUUCAUACUUCAGUGGUUCCAUACACUAUGCUAAAGAAUCAGGACCUAAUCCUCAAUAAGAAUUAAUUGGAAAGAGACCUCACAGACACAAGAAAUAA